GAGCAGGAGGUGCUGCUGGGGGUCCCUCGAGGGUCCUCGCUGCUCAGGUGACAGGGACGCUCCUCUUCGUCUUCCUGCCUGAGGGGGACAGAAGGUGACACAGAGUCCUUGAGCCCCCGAGAGUCCUCGAAUGCUCGGGCUCUGCCUGCCCCACCCCCACCUACUCCACGCCCAGUUGGAGGAAGGAGAUGCCGUCAUUUGGCACCUGCUGUGUCCCCCGCUGGGACGAGAUGGGCUGAGGGAGGCUGCGUCACCUGCCCCGGGGGACAGGGUAGUUGGGGUCGGGGCCAGAGUUAGAACCCAGGACCGGGUGACUUCGGAGCCGGGCCUUUCCGUCCCUGUCGGGCCGCCCCGUUGGGCUGACAGGCUGGUCCUUGAGGCCCAGAGUCGGGCUCUCAGGCGGUUACGCUUUCUGACCCGGGUUCUGGCAGGUUCUGUGGGCCAACACCUUCUGCGUGGACGCUUAUUUCCAGAAUCUUCCUGGCUCGUCUCAGCUAGACAAGUCCCAGAGCCACCUCCUGUGGGCUGGAGAGGGUCCCCCCUAGGGCUGCCGCCGACAGUGCCCCGAUGCAGAAGGGUCACCCGCUGCCACCUCUUCUUCCUCGUGGAGGAAGAAAGUGACCGGCAGGUCCUCGAGGAGCAAACCUGCACCUGUCCCCACGUCCGCACGGGACAUCCUGAGGCAGGGACGGUGCUGCCCCCGGGCCACGACCCAGCGCCGGGCACUCUUGCUCUUCCUCCAGAAGGUGGGUCACUGGGUCCGUCACAGAUGGGGCCACUGGGUCCCAGUCGGCACCGGAAACGCUUCCCCCCGGUUCGGGCGCGGAGAGCCGCACGUUCUCCGAGAAAGAGCUGGAAGCAAACGGGCUCCAAACACGUCGCAGGAACCAUUCACGAAAGACGGUGAAUUGUCGCGGUCUGGGUGCGCCUCCGGCCUCUGCCGUGCUCAGAACCAGCCUUCAGUGGACCAGAGCUCGAGCCUGAGACCCACCCUUCGUGACGGCUUUGGGUCCCUCUUGUCCCCACCCUGAGACGAGGGUCCAGGCCACGGCGCCACAAGCCCUCGUGUUGGUCCUUCCCAGGACAGGGCGGCCCCCGGGCACGUCCUCCCACCUGGGGCUUUUGUUGCCUGGCGAGCGUUGGUCUCCAGUCUGUUUGAGACAGUCUUGCUCUGUCACCUCUGCUGUGACCGUUUGGCUUUGGACCGGGUUUUUGCACCUCGUCAUCUUCAUCCAGCCACCGUGCCGAGUGCCUGCAGUUGCCAAAAAAGGAAUCCAUUUCUCAUGACAGAACCGUCAUCUGCCGGCCUCGUACCUGGCCCGUUUGUUCCCGAUGGGCCAGUGUCGUUGGAGUAGCGACGUCACGCCGGGCUGCCAACUCACACGCAGGUUGAGAUGGAUUCGCUUCCGCUACGGCCGUCAGCUCAUCUUCGUCCGCCGUGGCCUCGGGCCGCCCGCGUGGCUCAUCUUCAAGAUCAAAAUCCCCAGAACGGAACUUCUCAAACCUUCCACGUCCCGUGCGCUCGUCGGCCACGUCCUUCCCGCACACGUGGUCGAUACUCCGAGCUGCCUGCGCCGCGAUGGUGCCACAACAGAACCCACGUCUGGAAAUAACACGAAUUGUUGGCUUACCCGUGGUUUCACGGAAACUCCUCUAAAAAAAAUCUUACUUUGAAAGAUAAUCACCAGCCGAAAUGCAUCUGAAGGACUGAGCAUGAGGCUGGAGUCUCUGCACAGGCCAAGCAGCCGUUGGGUCCCCCCUUCUUCUGGUGGCUCCAGACAGGGGCUCCCCCUGGCUGGUGGCACGUAAGUCCCCUACUGGCAGCAGGUUCUCCACUGACCCAGCUGGGCUCAAAAGCCCAAGUGUCCCCAUCUUACCUGCUGGUUCUAGUUUUUCUUAAGCACGUUGGCGGGAGGUGCAGCCCCCGGCAUGUGUGUCCCUCACCUGAGUUCCCCAACGGGGCCUGGGGACAGCAGGGUCCUCAGGCCACCCCGGAAAGGCCUCGGCCUCCUGGUCGGGGGCCAGAGCCCGGGCCACUGGGAAUGGUGACAUUUCAGCAGACGUGUCAGCACGUCCUGUUCCACGGAGCCGUUGGCAGCCAUCCUUGGAAGUCAGAAAGGAGCGAAACUCCACCUCUGUUUACCUGACCUGGUUUCCCGGGAAAGGUUUCUCUGGCAAACCCUGGUUUCCAGGUGAAAUUCUCUGUUUGUCCCCGAGCAAAGGCUCCGGCUCCGUUACGCAGCUCUGGGCUCCGGACCGGCCUGGGAGUGAGCUUGAGCCGGUCCCCGUGAGCCGGGUGGGGAGGAGGGAGGACUGGGAAGGACUGGCCUAGCAGGACCCGUGUCCCCUCCCUGUGUCCUCUUCCCCGCAGACGGAGAACUGGCAGCAUCGUGGGUUGGGAGGGUCCCCGGGAAGCCUGGAGCCUCCGACCCCGCGGUUGGGCAGGCGGCCAGAGACCAGCCCCGGGUGACAGUGCUGAAGCCCAAGAAGCUUCUAGACUCGUCCUCCAGCUCCCUCAUUGCUCAGCUGAGAGCCCAGGCCGGGAGCAGGGGACGGGUCUGCUCAGUGUCACACAAAGCUACACACAGGGCCGGGCACGGUGGCUCUCGCCUGUCACCCCAGCACUCUGGGAGGCCGAGGCGGGAGGAUUGCUUGAGGUC